rnacentral:rRNA from 1 species
CCAGUAAGGGCGACUGAACGGGGAGGAGCCCAGCGCGGAACCUCGCGCGCCUCACCGGCUGCGUCUGAGGAAUGUCGCGUUCCGGAGGGGCCUUCUCCGACCACACCGACCCCCCCCAAGUCCGCUUGAACGCGGCCACUGCCCAUGGAGGGUGCGAGGCCCGUACGGGGAUUAGGAGUCGGGCGGUCGGACGGCCCCGUCCGUAGAGUCGGGUUGCCUACUAACGCAGCCCAAAGCAGGUGGUAAACUC